rnacentral:rRNA from 1 species
UACGUAGGGGGCAAGCGUGUCCGGAUUCAUUGGGCGUAAAGAGCGUGUAGGCGGCCAGGUAGGUCGGUUGUGAAAACUGGAGGCUCAACCUUCAGAGGUCGACCGAAACCAUCUGGCUAGAGUCCGGGAGAGGAGAGUGGAAUUCCUGGUGUAGCGGUGAAAUGCGCAGAUAUCAGGAAGAACACCCGUGGCGAAAGCGGCUCACUGGACCAUUACUGACGCUGAGGCACGAAAGCUAGGGGAGCAAACAGG